rnacentral:lncRNA from 1 species
ACGUCGGCGAAGGUGUGGGCAAGGAAAGAGAGUGGAGCGCGGUAUCAAUGUUAGGGCGGUGGAGGAGGAGAACAAAGGAGAGGAAGCGGAAGGAGAAAAAGACACAGAAACGACGUGGAAGACGAACUAGCAGUGGGGAGAAAAACAAACGAGAAAAAAAAGAAUAAAAAUAUUUUGGUCUGUUUACUGAAAAUUCGGGCUGAAUCUAUAAAAUCCAAAAUGAGCACCCAUGUUUUGCAAAAACACAAAACCGAUGGUUUUUUUAUGCAAAUCGGCAUUUUUUCUGAAAAGAUUUGUGUCUUUUCUCUUGUAAAAGAAGGGUUUUUUUUUAGUGAGAAAGGUAGUAUGCUAUCCGCUUCGUUUAUUUAUUUUAGAAACAAACAUAGCUGGAAAUGUGAAGCAACUCGACUUCAAACUUGAGACCUCGGUUACCAACCACAAAACCUUUGCUACUUGUGUUAGGGACGGUCGGUCUUGUAAAAGAAGGGUUCAAG